rnacentral:rRNA from 1 species
GACGAACGCUGGCGGCGUGCCUAAUACAUGCAAGUCGAACGCAGUGGGGACGGGUGAGUGACACGUGGGUAACCUCCCAUCAGAGGGGAUAACACUUGGCAACAGGUGCUAAACCGCUACUGAUGGAUGGACUCGCGGGGGAUUAGCCAGUUGGUGGGGUAACGGCUCACCAAGGCCACGAUGCCUAGCCGGCCUGAGAGGUGGAUCGGCCACACUGGGACUGAGACACGGCCCAGACUCCUACGGGAGGCAGCAGUAGGGAAUCUUCGGCAAUGGACGAAAGUCUGACCGAGCCACGCCGCGUGAGUGAAGAAGGUCUUCGGAUCGUAAAACUCUGUUGUUAGAGAAGCGGUAUCUAACCAGAAAGCAACGGCUAACUACGUGCCAGCAGCCGCGGUAAUAC